UACCUGUUUUGAUCCUGCCCUUAUUCAUAUGCUUGUCUCAAAGAUUAAGCCAUGCAUGUCUAAUGUAUAAACUGCUUUAUACUGUGAAACUGCUAAUGGCUCAUUAAAUCACUUAUAGUUUAUUUGAUGGUACCUACUACUCCUAUAACCCUAGAAAUUCUACAGCUAAUACGUGCGUAAAUCCCGACUUCUGGAAGGCACUUAUUUAUUAUCAUAAAAUGCCAGCCAGGCUCUGCCCGACCUGCAGUGAAUCAUGAUAACUUCACGAAUCGCAUGGCCUCCUGCCUGCAAUGUUUCAUUCAAAUUUCUGCCCUAUCAACUUUCUAUGGUAAGAUAUACGCCUACCAUGGUGGUAACGGGUGACGGAUGAUUACGGUUCUAUUCCCGAUAGGCAGCCUGAUAGAUGCCUACCACAUCCAAAGAACGCAUCAAGCGCGCAAAUUACCCUUUCCCAACACAGGGAGGUAGUGACUAUAAAUAACAAUACCGAGCACUACGAUGUCUGGUAAUUGCAAUG
rnacentral:rRNA from 1 species